rnacentral:misc_RNA from 1 species
UUUUUUUUUUGAAAUAAAAAUAAAGUUAAAGAUUCUAGUGAUUAAAAUGAAAUAACCAUCUAAAUUAAGAAAUGAUUAGUAUAAUUUAUCAGUAAAAUGUACUUAAGGAAAGUUUAUUAGUUAAUAUCAUGCCCUUUUUUCUCUCAAAAUUAAUAUUUUUAGUGGGGUGUGCAGUUUCGAUUUCAGUUUAAUUUUUUGUAAAGAACUAAAUUUUGGUUCUUUCUUUUUUUGAAAUCAAAAGAUGAAUCAAAUUUCGAUUCCAGUUGUGGUUUGGUUCUAAGUACUUUUAAUUCUAGUUCGG